UCUCUGCUGGCUCAGUCAGUAAAGAGUCUGCCUGCAAUGCAGGAGACCCAGGUUCAAUCCCUGGGUUGGGAA
rnacentral:tRNA from 1 species